rnacentral:rRNA from 1 species
GAUGAACGCUGGCGGCGUGCCUAAUACAUGCAAGUCGAGCGAACAGACGAGGAGCUUGCUCCUCUGACGUUAGCGGCGGACGGGUGAGUAACACGUGGAUAACCUACCUAUAAGACUGGGAUAACUUCGGGAAACCGGAGCUAAUACCGGAUAAUAUAUUGAACCGCAUGGUUCAAUAGUGAAAGACGGUUUUGCUGUCACUUAUAGAUGGAUCCGCGCCGCAUUAGCUAGUUGGUAAGGUAACGGCUUACGAAGGCAACGAUGCGUAGCCGACCUGAGAGGGUGAUCGGCCACACUGGAACUGAGACACGGUCCAGACUCCUACGGGAGGCAGCAGUAGGGAAUCUUCCGCAAUGGGUGAAAGCCUGACGGAGCAACGCCGCGUGAGUGAUGAAGGUCUUCGGAUCGUAAAACUCUGUUAUUAGGGAAGAACAAAUGUGUAAGUAACUAUGCACGUCUUGACGGUACCUAAUCAGAAAGCCACGGCUAACUACGUG